rnacentral:lncRNA from 1 species
CAUACAUUGUGUUACGAAGAAAGACCCUUCAUUUUGCUGUUCUGAUUUAUUUUCUCUUCUAAACUGUUGCAUGCAUGUAUUGUUUGUUAAAGGCUGACAGCCCUGGAGACCUAAGCUCUUUAUUUAUCCAUACAGAGUGAAAUUCCUCUCUCUGUAGAGCAGAUGCCAAAGGCACUAAUUGUCAAUGGCACUCUUGCACACAAAGAUAUCCUUUCUCUAUUUUUCAUCCAGAAUAAUUUUGCUGUGUGAAGGAGAACUCCAAAGGAUGAAGCUGAGUUGGAGGAUUUACCCGACAGAGGCAAUGGGACUUCAGUGUAAGGACCUAAUCCAGCCCAAGCGRAGACUUGGAGAGGCAGGCUUCCCACU